GAGUCCCUACAUCAAUACAUCAUUCUACUUGAAAUAAUCAUCAAGAAUUUCACCCUAGAAACUCUUUCUAAACCAUAAUUGGAAACAUACAUAACUUCAUACAUAAACCUCAUAAAAUUUCCAUUGAUAUUACUAAAUAAUCCUUACAUUAUCAUUACAUUUCCAUCCAUAAGAAACAGAAAGAAUAAAAUAAAAGAAACC
rnacentral:lncRNA from 1 species